rnacentral:rRNA from 1 species
GGGUCAGUAGGUUGGUCGUGCCACCGGUACGUACUGGUCUAACUGAUUCCUCCUUCCUGAAGAACCGUAAUGCCAUUAAUUUUGUGUUGCGGGGAAACAGGACUGUUACUUUGAAAAAAUUAGAGUGUUUAAAGCAAGCUAACGCUUGAAUACAUUAGCAUGGAAUAAUGAAAUAGGACGAUCGAUCCUAUUUUUCUGGUUUCUAGGAUUGACGUA